rnacentral:rRNA from 1 species
AACGAACGCUGGCGGCAGGCUUAACACAUGCAAGUCGAACGCCCCGCAAGGGGAGUGGCAGACGGGUGAGUAACGCGUGGGAACAUACCCUUUUCUACGGAAUAGCCCUGUGAAACUGGAAUUAAUACCGUAUACGCCCUACGGGGGAAAGAUUUAUCGGGGAAGGAUUGGCCCGCGUUGGAUUAGCUAGUUGGUGGGGUAAAGGCCUACCAAGGCGACGAUCUAUAGCUGGUCUGAGAGGAUGAGCAGCCACAUUGGGACUGAGACACGGCCCAAACUCCUACGGGAGGCGGGAGAGGGGGAUAUUGGACAAUGGGCGCAAGGCUGAUCGAGCCAGGCCGGGUGAGUGAUGAAGGCCUGAGAGUUGUAAAGCUCUUUCACCGAUGAAGAUAAUGACGGUAGUCGGAGAAGAAGCCCCGGCUAACUUCGUG